rnacentral:rRNA from 1 species
CUGCUGCCUCCCGUAGGAGUCUGGUCCGUGUCUCAGUACCAGUGUGGGGGACCUUCCUCUCAGAACCCCUACGCAUCGUCGUCUUGGUGGUCCGUUACACCGCCAACUAACUAAUGCGACGCAUGCCCAUCCGCCACCGGAAUUAACCUUUGGCACCAACAGGAUGUCCCGUCCAUGCAUUAUGCCGUAUUAGACGGAAUUUCUCCCGAUUAUCCGGCUGUGGCAGGCAGGUUGCAUACGUGUUACUCACCCGUGCG